rnacentral:rRNA from 1 species
GGUGAGUAACACGUGGGUGAUCUGCCCUGCACUCUGGGAUAAGCUUGGGAAACUGGGUCUAAUACCGGAUAUGACCACAGCAUGCAUGUGUUGUGGUGGAAAGAUUUAUCGGUGCAGGAUGGGCCCGCGGCCUAUCAGCUUGUUGGUGGGGUAAUGGCCUACCAAGGCGACGACGGGUAGCCGACCUGAGAGGGUGACCGGCCACACUGGGACUGAGACACGGCCCAGACUCCUACGGGAGGCAGCAGUGGGGAAUAUUGCACAAUGGGCGGAAGCCUGAUGCAGCGACGCCGCGUGAGGGAUGAAGGCCUUCGGGUUGUAAACCUCUUUCAGCAGGGACGAAGCGUGAGUGACGGUACCUGCAGAAGAAGCACCGGCUAACUACGUGCCAGCAGCCGCGGUAAUACGUAGGGUGCGAGCGUUGUCCGGAAUUACUGGGCGUAAAGAGUUCGUAGGCGGUUUGUCGCGUCGUUUGUGAAAACCCGGGGCUCAACUUCGGGCUUGCAGGCGAUACGGGGAGACUUGAGUGUUUCAGGGGAGACUGGAAUUCCUGGUGUAGCGGUGAAAUGCGCAGAUAUCAGGAGGAACACCGGUGGCGAAGGCGGGUCUCUGGGAAACAACUGACGCUGAGGAACGAAAGCGUGGGUAGGAAACAGGAUUAGAUACCCUGGUAGUCCACGCCGUAAACGGUGGGCGCUAGGUGUGGGUUCCUUCCACGGGAUCUGUGCCGUAGCUAACGCAUUAAGCGCCCCGCCUGGGGAGUACGGCCGCAAGGCUAAAACUCAAAGGAUUUGACGGGGGCCCGCACAAGCGGCGGAGCAUGUGGAUUAAUUCGAUGCAACGCGAAGAACCUUACCUGGGUUUGACAUACACCGGAAAACCGUAGAGAUACGGUCCCCCUUGUGGUCGGUGUACAGGUGGUGCAUGGCUCUCGUCAGCUCGUGUCGUGAGAUGUUGGGUUAAGUCCCGCAACGAGCGCAACCCUUGUCUUAUGUUGCCAGCACGUAAUG